AUUCAGCAGGAACAGUCCCCUAAAUUUGCUCAUAGUCUGUACAGAGAGAUCCCAUAAAACUAUGGCAGCAUAUACAUUACAGUUAUAUUAUGCAUUUUUGGUCUCCGGGCACUAAAGGGACAUUACUGAAAUAGAGGAGGGUGCUUUAUAGGGGAACUGGGGGUGCUAUAGACAAAAACCUUUGGCAGAGGGGAUUUGCUUGGCACAAAAAUGGAGGGGCUAAUGUUGCUUAACUACAGCUGACAGCAUGCUUUAAACCUUUAUAAAAUAUUGGGGUACACAGGGAGUUGUCCAGAUAUAUUUUAGUAAGUCAUAGUAGAGUAAUAGUAGGGUUAUAUGCCGUAGAAUCCAGUACCUUAAUGCCAAGACUAGGUGCUUUCACCCACAUUUGGUACGGUCCAAUAUACACUUAUUGGGCCCCAUGUGACUUUAGUGUGGGUGACAUCAUUAACUGACAAGUGACACAACUGUUACAGAGGAGCAUUUACCUGCCGAGCAUUUCCAGCAACUCCCUCAGACCCAGAAGCCUCUUUGUCAGAACCAAAACCAGAAAAUGAGCAAAGUGAGUGGCGGGUCCAGAAGAACCAGGGCAAGGAGGCCAAUGAGCAACCGGAGAGGAAGGCGCAGCCAAAGUGCAGCUCACCGUAGCCGUGCUCAGCGCCGCAGGAGGAGAACUGGUACCACUAGACGGGCCAGAACCAGUACAGCCAGACGGGCCAGAACCAGAACAGCCAGAAGAUCUGAUCUCACCAGAAUGAUGGCAAGAGACUAUGGCUCAGAUUAUCGCAGUUAAACCACUGAGGAGCCUGCGGGGUCCCCACUCCCAUGAGCCAUGAGACGCUGUGAUCUGCUGCUGUGGCUGCUGCGCAACAUCCAAAGUCCACAUCAAUGAAAUCACCUCUGUUCCCCACCAAACAGCACAAAUAAAACUGACAAAGCAAA